ensembl:snRNA U6 U6 spliceosomal RNA
AUGCUAGCUUUGGCAGCACAUAUACAUAUUAGAGUAAUACAUAGAACAUUAGCAUGGCCCCUGCCCAAGGAUGGGAUGCAAAUUUGUGAAGCAUUCAUAUUUAAC